GUGUCAGCCGCCGCGGUAAUACGGAGGGUGCCAGCGUUAAUCGGAAUUACUGGGCGUAAAGCGUGCGCAGGCGGUAAGUUAAGUCUGCUGUGAAAUCCCUGGGCUCAACCUGGGGAUGGCGGUGGAUACUGGCUUGCUGAAGUACGGUAGAGGAAGGUGGGAUUCCCGGUGUAGCGGUGAAAUGCGUAGAGAUCGGGAGGAACAUCAGUGGCGAAGGCGACCAUCUGGACCAGUACUGACGCUGAGGCACGAAAGCGUGGGGAGCAAACAGGAUUAGAAACCCGUGUAGUCC
rnacentral:rRNA from 1 species